rnacentral:rRNA from 1 species
AGUGAACGCUGGCGGUAGGCCUAACACAUGCAAGUCGAACGGCAGCACAGUAAGAGCUUGCUCUUACGGGUGGCGAGUGGCGGACGGGUGAGGAAUACAUCGGAAUCUACUUUUUCGUGGGGGAUAACGUAGGGAAACUUACGCUAAUACCGCAUACGACCUACGGGUGAAAGCAGGGGAUCUUCGGACCUUGCGCGAUUGAAUGAGCCGAUGUCGGAUUAGCUAGUUGGCGGGGUAAAGGCCCACCAAGGCGACGAUCCGUAGCUGGUCUGAGAGGAUGAUCAGCCACACUGGAACUGAGACACGGUCCAGACUCAGACCGGAGGCAGCAGUGGGGAGUAGUGGACAAUGGGCGCAGGCCUGAUCCAGCCAUACCGCGUGAGUGAAGAAGGGCUUCGUGUUCCAAAGCCCUUUUGUUGGGAAAGAAAAGCAGCACGUGAAUUACCCGCUGUUCUGACGGUACCCAAAGAAUAAGCAACGCCUAACUUCGUG